rnacentral:rRNA from 1 species
UCUACCCAUCCUUGCGGACAACUCCGGAAACUGGGGCUAAUACCGCAUACGCCUURGGGGGAAAGAUUAUCGGGGAUGGAUGAGCCCGCKUUGGAUUAGCUAGUUGGUGGGGUAAAGGCCUACCAAGGCGACGAUCCAUAGCUGGYCUGAGAGGAUGAUCAGCCACAUUGGGACUGAGACACGGCCCAAACUCCUACGGGAGGMAGCRGUGGGGAAUAUUG